GGGUUGUUGAAGGCAUUUCGGAGUGAGGAAGUGCUACUGCGUGAUGCUGUGAGGUGUUCCUGGCAGGACUGGGAGAUCCCACGUGCCCUG